CAGCAGUCGGGGAAUAGUUGCACAAUGGGCGCAAGCCUGAUGCAGCAACGCCGUGUGAGUGAAGAAGGUUUUCCGGAUCGUAAAACUCUGUCCUAAGGGGAAGAAACAAAUGACGGUACCUUAGGAGGAAGCCCCGGCUAACUACGUGCCAGCAGCCGCGGUAAUACGUAGGGGGCAAGCGUUAUCCGGAAUCACUGGGCGUAAAGGGUGCGUAGGCGGCUUAGCAAGCCAGGGGUGAAAGGCAUUGGCUCAACCAAUGUAAGCCUUUGGAACUGUUAAGCUUGAGUGCAGGAGAGGUAAGUGGAAUUCCUAGUGUAGAGGUGAAAUUCGUAGAUAUUAGGAGGAACACCAGUGGCGAAGGCGACUUACUGGACUGUAACUGACGCUGAUGCACGAAAGCGUGGGUAGCGAACAGGAUUAGAUACCCCUGGUAG
rnacentral:rRNA from 1 species